UACAGAGGUCCCAAGCGUUGUUCGGAUUCACUGGGCGUAAAGGGUGCGUAGGUGGCUAGGUAAGUUCGAUGUGAAAUCUCCGAGCUUAACUCGGAAAGUGCAUUGAAUACUAUCUAGCUUGAGGGUUGGAGGGGGGACUGGAAUUCUCGGUGUAGCAGUGAAAUGCGUAGAUAUCGAGAGGAACACCAGUGGCGAAGGCGAGUCCCUGGACAACUCCUGACACUGAGGCACGAAAGCUAGGGGAGCAAACAGG
rnacentral:rRNA from 1 species